UUCUUUUAGGAUGAGGAUUCAUUCAGUUUAUCUAGGUUUAUGAGACUUUGCUGAGAGUGGAACCAGGAGAGGUCAAUUCUGCUGUAAUGCAUGAAGAGAAGAAUGUACAUGAAUCGAGAGGACAUGAAUGAAAACUGGUUAAUGAUCUAUAGAGAGACAUCAAUACAAUGAUUCUGCUGCUUGCCAAGUGACAAAUUGCCAUUUGAAAUUGUUCACAAGAUGUAGAAAUUGCUGCCUUCUAAACCUCUUCAGCAGGGAUGUAGUCUAGUCAACAUUUUGCGGGCCCUUGGCCUUGGCCUCAUCCCGAGUCACUUGUACAAAGUCUAUGGAAGCAUUUUUCACCAGCAACCUUGUGACGUGGAACUACCAGCCUCGAUUACAUCGCAACUCUUCAGUUAUAACCAACUCGUGAAGUCAAGUAUUUUUUAUGCAAAUAUGAUGAAUCCAACAAUCAGGCCUCUAUCAGGAAUUAGAUAUGAAGUAGUUCUCACCAUGUAAAUUAAUACAAAUAUCAUUUUUGUCUCGCCCACCAGAGGUGAAGGCGACUCUUAGGGAUCCAAAUGUUGUCCGUCCGUCACAAACCUAAUGACACAUGACUCCACAACCGUAAGUUGCUUGGAUGGUAGAUGGACUUGAGGGACCUGCAUGUUAUGCUGCAGUCGGAGGUCACAUGGUAAGGUCAAAGGUCAUUUUCAGGUCAACGUUAAAGUUUACAUGCAGGUCAACGUUAAAGUUUACAUGCAAGACUCUCUUAUGACACCUAACUCCGCAACCGUAAGUCACUUUUCAACCAAUCUUGGAUGGUAGAUGGACUUGGGGGACCUGCAUGUUAUGCUGCAGUCUGAGGUCACAUGGUCAGGUCAAAGGUCAUUUUCAGGUCAACGUUAAAGUUUACAUGCAAGACUCUCUUAUAACACCUAACUCCGCAACCGUAAGUCACUUUUCAACCAAACUUGGAUGGUAGAUGGACUUGGGGGACCUGCAUGUUAUGCUGCAGUCAGAGGUCACAUGGUAAGGUCAAAGGUCAUUUUCAGGUCAACGUUAAAGUUUACAUGCUAGACUCUUAUGACACCUAACUAGGCAAUCGUAAGUCGCUUUUCAACCAAACUUGAAUGGUAGAUGGACUUGGGGGACCUGCAUGUUAUGCUGCAGUCAGAGGUCACAUGAUAAGGUCAAAGGUCAUUUUCAGGUCGACGUUAAAGUUUACAUGCAAGACUCUCUUGUGACACCUAACUCCGCAACCGUAAGUCACUUUUCAACCAAACUUGGAUGGUAGAUGGACUUGGGGGACCUGCAUGUGAGGCUGCAGUCGGAGGUCACAUGGUAAGGUCAAAGGCCAUUUUCAGGUCAACGUUAAAGUUUACAUGCAAGACUCUCUUAUGACACCUAACUCCGCAACCGUAAGUCACUUUUCAACCGAACUUGGGGGACCUGCAUGUUAUGCUGCAGUCGGAGGUCACAUGGUUAGGUCAAAGGUCAUUUUCAGGUCAACGUUAAAGCUUACAUGCUAGACUCUCUUAUGACACCUAACUCCGCAACCAUAAGUCACUUUUCAACAAAACUUGGAUGGUAGAUGUACUUAGGCGACCUGCAUGUUAUGCUGUAGUCAGAGGUCACAUGGUAAGGUCGAAGGUCAUUUUCAGGUCAAAAUUAAAGUUUACGUGCAAUGCUCCUAUGACAAGUGUUAUUCCAUCCCAGUCAUUUCACAAUGAAGUUUUGAUACAAUUCUGUUGCGUGCCCUCGCAAAUCACGAUAUUUCUGGUUAUUUUCAUAAGUGGGCGAGACACAAAAUCGCUUUUGCCUUGUAGUUAUAAUCCGGAGGGGGCAUUAAGCGUUGCCCCUGUCCGUCCUUCCGUCCGUCCCCCCCCCCCCACUUGGUUUCCGCGCAAUAACAAAAAAAAAUAUUAAAUGGAUUUUAAAAAAUUUUGGUGUGUAGGUAGAUGACACCAAAAUUCAGGUUAAGUUUGAACUUGGAGUCCGCAGGUCAAAGGUCACAGCUCAUUAAAUAUGCGAGUGGGUUUCUGCAUGAUAACUUAUGAAAUAUUCAAUGGAUUAAAAAAAAUAUUUUGGUGUGUAGGUAGAUGACACCAAAAUACAGGCUAAGUUUAAAUUCGGAGUCCGCAGGUCAAAGGUCACAGCUCAUUAAAUAUGCGAGUUGGUUUCCGCAUGAUAACUUAUGAAAUAUUCAAUGGAUUAAAAAAAAAUUUGGUGUGUAGGUAGAUGACACCAAAAUACAGGCUAACUUUGAAUUCGGAGCUCAUUAUAUAUGUGAGUUGGUUUCCGCAUGAUAACUUUGGAAAUAUUCACCAGAUUUUAAAAAUGUUUGGUGUCUGGGUAGAUGACACCAAAAUACAGUCGGGUCACAUCAAAUGACCAGACUGUCAUAUCUUCUGUUAGAGAUUAUUAUGGUAAGGGUGAGUCUUUAGGUCAAAGGUCUUAAUUUGUUCAUUAUAUAAAUGCAUAUUGGUUUCUGCGAUUUUAAGUUCAAUCAUAUAGAAUUAAUUUCUGAUUGCGUUAAGCGGGGGCAUCUGUGUCCUUUGGACACGUCAAAUUUCUAGUUGUAUUUUGUUCAAGAUUUCACUUUUACUGACACAGUAACUUUGUACAUAUAUUUGUUUCAAAAAGUGUAUUUGGUAGAUAACGGGAUUAUUUUAUUCUUUAACCCUUUGAACCCUAAAUGAUUUGGGGGCGGCCGUGACCCAUACCCUAAAUUAUUUGCACAUAUCGACCAAAUUCACAAACUCCCAUGAUUUGAGCCCCAAUGGCAUCUUCCCCUUGCUGGUACCCCGCCCCUGCCCGGCUGAAGUUGUUUAACUCCUUGCAGACCUAGUCUACCAACAGAAAUAUCUUUAGUGUCUGUUUUAGGCUCAAAAUCACUGCUUUGACUCUAGUCGGAUUUAUCAGUAGCUCCCCAUAGUCAGGAGGUGACUCGCCGUGUUUUACGCAGUGUAAUUACUGCACAUGCCAGACGAGUCUCCGCAGUAGAGUAGCAUAUUUUGGCCAUUUUGGAUGCUACAACCUUCUUAAAUCAAUACCAAUCUUGUUUGAAAUUAUUGAUUAAGUAUCCCUGUUGUGUAGUAGAAAGAUGUUUUUUUAAGAUCACUUAACAAUUAGAAUCCAUGUUUUUUCCAGCCUAUUGGGUAUUGGCAAGUUCACUGCUAUGAACUGGUUCAAAGGGUAAAAUGUUUGAACAAAAUUUGAUGAAACAGUAAAAAUAUUUGGAAAUGUUUGCAUCUAAAAAGUGGAGAAUGAUACUUUUGAAAUAAUAUAACAAGGCCACUUUUCACUUUGUAUUUAGUAACAUUAUAUGAACUCCACAAAGCCCUGGCUAUUUUGAAAUUACAUGGGGGGGGGGGCUUUGAAAACGGCAAAACUAAAUUAU